rnacentral:misc_RNA from 1 species
GAUGAAGAACGUAGCGAAAUGCGAUACGUAAUGUGAAUUGCAGAAUUCAGUGAAUCAUCGAGUCUUUGAACGCACAGUGCGCCCCCUGGUAUUCCGGGGGGCAUGCCUGUCCGAGCGUCAUUGCUGCCCUCAAGCACGGCUUGUGUGUUGGGCCUCCGUCCUCCUCCCGGGGGACGGGCCCGAAAGGCAGCGGCGGCACCGCGUCCGGUCCUCGAGCGUAUGGGGCUUCGUCACCCGCUCUUGUAGGCCCGGCCGGCGCUUGCCGACACAUCAAUCUUUUUUCCAGGUUGACCUCGGAUCAGGUAGGGAUACCCGCUGAACUUAAGCAUAUCAAUAAGCGGAGGA